AUUUGGCACUAUGUGUGUUCAACGAGCAGCAUGCGAGAACUUCAACAUUUAGUCAUCUGAACACUGGGGAACUUACUUGCUCACCCCAUAGGAAGUUGCCACCACCUCUGCAAUUUCAAAGAUUACAGCAGCCUUUGAACAGCCCCAUGAGGAGCACCAGUGUUGCUGGAUUAUAGCACACAUUAAUUCAAAGUGACCUCAUCUUAAUGUAUUAUAUCAGCAAAGACCUUAUUACCAGUCUGCUUCCUGGAGUUGUAGCCCUGACCUCUGAAAGCAGACCACUUCCUCUUCAUCUUGGCCAUGGGUACUUGAGAGGAGCAACCGAGUCCCUCAUUCCUUAUCUAGCCAAGUGAUCACACUUCUGAAAAUCAAUUCUGCACUGAGGUGCCAUCUUCAGAAAAGGCUUAUUUUUUAACCCCAAAGGGACACAUUUAGGAAGGCAGCCUCUCUUCUGCACUGAGAACUAUGGAGAACACAGCUGAAUCCUCCACCCUGGGGCAGCCAGCCACAUCCUGGAUCUGGGACCAAGACUGUGAUUCAAACAACUAUACAUUGUCCACAUUGCCUUUGCCCCAGUUUCACUUUGUAAUUUCUGCGAAUUCAAGAUGGAGAGUCCAAUUUAAGAAAAUGCAUGGUCCCAAGGCUCCCACACGUGCAGCAGGACUCAUCUCGACCUUUUUGUGAUUCUGAAGAUGUGGAGUCCACAUGGAAGCAUCACAUGGACUCAUAAUUAUUGAUCCCUGGGGACUCAGACUAUUUCAGCAGGAAUAAAAGACAAUGGAUAUGGUGUGGGCAACUGUGUCGUUUUAAUGAAACUCACACUUCCAGCACAGAAUGAAGAAAGCCCAGACUCAAAGACAUUCAGGACAAGCUUCUUUUCACAUGUCCCAGCAUGCCUGUGUACACUGGUUCAUGUUUACUCCUUACUGAGCGGGAGGGUAGGAGUUUGCUGCUGUUAUUAGACAACAUGGGGACCAGCAGAGACUAGCUGAACUUGGAUAUUCUCACUGCUCAUGAAAGCGAGAGUCAGAGACAAUCCAAGA
rnacentral:lncRNA from 1 species